UACGUAGGGUGCGAGCGUUAAUCGGAAUUACUGGGCGUAAAGCGUGCGCAGGCGGUUCGUUGUGUCGGCGGUGAAAGCCCCGGGCUUAACCUGGGAAUGGCCGUUGAAACUGGCGAACUGGAGUGUGGCAGAGGGGGGUGGAAUUCCGCGUGUAGCAGUGAAAUGCGUAGAGAUGCGGAGGAACACCGAUGGCGAAGGCAGCCCUCUGGGCUAACACUGACGCUCAGGCACGAAAGCGUGGGGAGCAAACAGG
rnacentral:rRNA from 1 species